GAUUAAUUAAUUAACAUUCAUUCUUUCUCGAAUAUUGAAAUUUCGUCCUUUUCUUUUUACUCUUUUGCCCUCGAUCCCCAAAUUCCUAUUCUCUUCAUCUUUUUCCGCCGAUUUCCAGUCUCGACUCCGACCACGAAUUCGAUCGCCAUGAGGAGUUUCGUCGGCCUUCCGAUGAUCGCUUUUAUACUGGUGACGCUUCGCCAAUUCGCAGCCGGAGAGGGCGGCGCUCCUUCACCAGCACCGGCGCCUUCUAACGACGGCACUGCGAUUGAUCAAGGAAUUGCUUACACCCUGCUGUUUGUUGCGCUGGCGAUUACUUAUUUAAUUCACUGAGUUAAAUUGUUUUUUAUUCUAUUUUUUUAAGAGUUUUAUGGAGAUGAUUUUGGUAGUUUAGUGAUAUUUAUUCAAUUCUUCAUGCGUUUUCGCCAAUUACUGGAGUGAUGAAAUUCCAGGAGUCCCCAUAUUUGUAGCUUACUUGUAGAUAGAAUUUUAAUGAGAAUGGUAUUCACUUUUACGAUUUAAA